rnacentral:rRNA from 1 species
GGAGGAAGAAGGUCUUCGGAUUGUAAACUCCUGUUGUUGGGGAAGAUAAUGACGGUACCCAACAAGGAAGUGACGGCUAACUACGUGCCAGCAGCCGCGGUAAAACGUAGGUCACAAGCGUUGUCCGGAAUUACUGGGUGUAAAGGGAGCGCAGGCGGGAAGACAAGUUGGAAGUGAAAUCUAUGGGCUCAACCCAUAAACUGCUUUCAAAACUGUUUUUCUUGAGUAGUGCAGAGGUAGGCGGAAUUCCCGGUGUAGCGGUGGAAUGCGUAGAUAUCGGGAGGAACACCAGUGGCGAAGGCGGCCUACUGGGCACCAACUGACGCUGAGGCUCGAAAGUGUGG